ensembl:lncRNA
AGAAGAACCUGACACAUCAAGAGAACCCUGACACAUCAAGAGAACCCUGACACAUCAAGAGAAGAGAACCCUGACACAUCAAGAGAACCCUGACACAUCAAGAGAACCCUGACACAUCAAGAGAAGAGAACCCUGACACAUCAAAAAGUGGAGAAUGCUUACCUUAACAUUUGUAUAGAACAUUCAGAGAAUUAUCUCCUCUCCGAACCAAAAACACAUUUAACAAUAUGUAGAUUGACAAACUUUCCAAAAGGUGAACAGUUUAUUGUAGGGUAGUUUACAUGUUAUAAGUUCCAGGUAUGUGGGUGGGUUCCAUGUAGGUUUACGUAGCUAUAAAUUAGUAGUAAUUUACAGUUCUGUUCAUAGCACAGCUGAAAUGGAAUGUGGGAUAGAAUGAUGUUACCCAACCCACUAGUCAGCUAACAUGUCCAAUUGGUCUAUUAACCAUCCUCCAGGAGUCUAGACUAGACUAGAGCAUGGUGAAUAUAGAGUAGAGGACUGACUGUCUGUUAACCCUCCUCCAGUAGUCUAGACUAGAGCAUGGUGAAUAUAGAGUAGAGGACUGACUGUCUGUUAACCCUCCUCCAGUAGUCUAGACUAGAGCAUGGUGAAUAUAGAGUAGAGGACUGACUGACUGUCUGUUAACCCUCCUCCAGGAGUCUAGACUAGAGCAUGGUGAAUAUAGAGUAGAGGACUGUCUGUUAACCCUCCUCCAGGAGUCUAGACUAGACUAGAGCAUGGUGAAUAUAGAGUAGAGGACUGUCUGUCUGUUAACCCUCCUCCAGGAGUCUAGACUAGACUAGAGCAUGGUGAAUAUAGAAUAGAGGACUGACUGUCUGUUAACCCUCCUCCAGUAGUCUACUCUAUAUUCACCAUGCUCUAGUCUAGACUCCUGGAGGAGGGUUAACAGACAGUCCUCUACUCUAUAUUCACCAUGCUCUAGUCUAGACUACUGGAGAAGGGAUAACAGACAGUCAGUCCUCUACUCUAUAUUCACCAUGCUCUAGUCUAGACUACUGGAGGAGGG